rnacentral:rRNA from 1 species
GAUGAACGCUGGCGGCGUGCCUAAUACAUGCAAGUCGAGCGAACGGACGAGAAGCUUGCUUCUCUGAUGUUAGCGGCGGACGGGUGAGUAACACGUGGAUAACCUACCUAUAAGACUGGGAUAACUUCGGGAAACCGGAGCUAAUAACGGAUGAUAUUUUGAACCGCAUGGUUCAAAAGAGGAAGACGGUCUUGCUGUCACUUAUAGAUGGAUCCGCGCUGCAUUAGCUAGUUGGUAAGGUAACGGCUUACCAAGGCAACGAUGCAUAGCCGACCUGAGAGGGUGAUCGGCCACACUGGAACUGAGACACGGUCCAGACUCCUACGGGAGGCAGCAGUAGGGAAUCUUCCGCAAUGGGCGAAAGCCUGACGGAGCAACGCCGCGUGAGUGAUGAAGGUCUUCGGAUCGUAAAACUCUGUUAUUAGGGAAGAACAUAUGUGUAAGUAACUGUGCACAUCUUGACGGUACCUACUCAGAAAGCCACGGCUAACUACGUG